rnacentral:rRNA from 1 species
GUCUACGGCCGUGCCACCCUCAACACACCCAAUCUCGUCUGAUCUCGGAAGUUAGCAGGUCAGCCAAAUUAGUACUUGGAUGGGAGACUACCUAGGAAUACUGGGUGCUGUAGGCU